GGGCGCGUAGCUCAGUUGGCUAGAGCGUUUCAUUGACAUUGAAAAGGUCAGAGGUUCAAAUCCUCUCGCGCCCACCA
rnacentral:tRNA from 1 species